CUCCUAUUCCAAUGUAGGUUCACUGUCCGGAUUUGGACUGAAAUUUGCACUUGGCUUGGCAUUCUUGACUCCUCACCAAUGAUUUGGCGUCAUGAAGACUCAGUUAAAGAUUGGUGGCUUAAGACGGUUAGUGGGGGAGGUGACCACAGGAAGGCCACCGCCUCCUUGAUGAUGCUUGUCUCAUGGGAAAUUUGAAAGGAGCGCAACGCAAGAAUUUUUCAGAAUGUCUCCGCUCCGACCUCUAUUGUUAUCGCGAAAAUCAAGGAGGAGGCUCAUCUUUGGACUUUGGCAGGAGCGAAGCAGCUUAGUAUUGUUAUGUCGCGAGAGUAG
rnacentral:rRNA from 1 species